AGCAGACUCGAUCGGGGAACAAUUGAAUUUGGGGGGUGUUGGGUUCAGGUUUUGGAUCAUACGAAGAAGUAAUCGGCGGAGAAGCUAUGUCGAGGCUACGGGAGAGAUUUGUAGGAUUGAUCACUAGGAAGAGGCAAGAGGUUUCAUCGGAGUAGCGCAAAGAUUGGUAAAAGUACUUUCCUAGAGUGGAGGAGAUUGACGGUCUGGGCAAGUAUUGUUCUUCGAACCCCUUACCUUUGAAUCAGGUGUCUGAAGUAAAUGCAUUUUAAAACUGCUUUGCUGACUGAGAUAUAAUUUAAUUCCAGGUUUCAAAAGUUUUGUUUUUGUUUUUGUUUGGAGUUGAGCUAAUCAGAGAUGUUACGGGCAUUGGAAUUAAUGCAUCUGACUCCUAAAAGAACCUGUUUGUAUUUGUAUGCUCACAGCGAUUAAUAAGACUCCUGUGGUAUCCAUUUGUGCAGCAGCAAGAUGUUCUAACCUGCUUCUUUCUUCUUUAGUUAUCCAGAAUUAUUUGUGGUCAGUGUAGUGCUUCGUCCAUGGAGGUUUCGGUGGUAUAUAGAUUGGCCGUAUGACUUUAAGUAUAUGGCCUUUGAUGUUAGUGUUUCUCACUGUCGAGUUAAUUAUUGAACUUGAAGCAAGGUGAAGCUUAAUGCCUGUCGUAGGUGUUCCAUAUUAUUAAUGCAUUAUGCAGUACGUAUCUAUCCUUUUCUUUUGUAGCCUCAUUAAGCAUCCCUGCUCGUUUAUGACUUGAGGACUUAGAUUUUUGGAACCAUAGAGUUUAGAAUGCAAAAAAGAAGGAUUUUAUCUUUUUUUGUUUGUGUUUUGUGUAUGUACGUUUACCCACUAUAUAUGUCGCUUCAAGUUCUAUCAAAUGUUUCUUGUUUUUGUUUUGCCUUCAAUCCCUUGUUAAGUUCUCAAGAGAGAAGAAGAGGAGAAGAAUGCCAGAGAAGGCACUCCACGCAAAAUCAUGACCAUCAGUAUUUAGCAUUUGGUGCCCACAAAAUUUGUUACAUUUGCUUUUCAUUAAUAUAAUAGUAGCUUAAUGUUUUCCACCGGAUUCAAAAGGUUAUAAACCAGAGGAAGCUAGGGAAGAAGCAGAUAAAUCAAGGGUUAAGGAACAUGAACCCGAGAUAGUAACUGCAGAACCACUCGAACUGGCUUCACUUUUUCAAUCCUAAAGUUCACAUUCAGGAAAACAGAACCAUCAGGGUCUGGAUCAUCAUUUAGGCCCGGGACAUGGCAGCCAUCAUCGUAAGCUUACUGAUGAUUGGUUUGACUCGUACAGAUGAAUCACCAUAGACGAGAGAGCUUUUGAGGACCAAUAAUUUGUGGCCUUUCACGCUGUCAUUGGCGACCUAGAAGAGUCAAAAUGAGAAGCCAUCUUCUUAUGCCUUUGUUUUCUUUUAGGGUGUUUGUCUCUUGGCAUAGUGCUCGAGACUUUUAUUUGCCUUUGUCCUUCAUAGCUGAAGAAGAGCCUAGCUACCCUUUGUCUUUCAUCGUUGACUUUUAUUUAUUAGGAUUUAAAACCAAAAAAAAAUUCGUGUACCAAUAAACAUCAUAAUUCAAUUUUAGUAUUCA